rnacentral:rRNA from 1 species
AGCGAACGCUGGCGGCAGGCUUAACACAUGCAAGUCGAGCGGGCACUUCGGUGUCAGCGGCAGACGGGUGGGUAACACGUGGGAACGUACCCUUUGGUUCGGAAUAACGCUGGGAAACUAGCGCUAAUACCGGAUACGCCCUUUUGGGGAAAGGCUUGCUGCCGAAGGAUCGGCCCGCGUCUGAUUAGCUAGUUGGUGGGGUAAUGGCCUACCAAGGCGACGAUCAGUAGCUGGUCUGAGAGGAUGAUCAGCCACACUGGGACUGAGACACGGCCCAGACUCCUACGGGAGGCAGCAGUGGGGAAUAUUGGACAAUGGGCGCAAGCCUGAUCCAGCCAUGCCGCGUGAGUGAUGAAGGCCUUAGGGUUGUAAAGCUCUUUUGUCCGGGACGAUAAUGACGGUACCGGAAGAAUAAGCCCCGGCUAACUUCGUG